rnacentral:rRNA from 1 species
ACUCAAUUGGAAAGGGGAGUGGCGGACGGGUGAGUAACACGUGGGAAACCUACCCAUCAGAGGGGGAUAACACUUGGAAACAGGUGCUAAUACCGCAUAACAGUUUAUGCCGCAUGGCAUAAGAGUGAAAGGCGCUUUCGGGUGUCGCUGAUGGAUGGACCCGCGGUGCAUUAGCUAGUUGGUGAGGUAACGGCUCACCAAGGCCACGAUGCAUAGCCGACCUGAGAGGGUGAUCGGCCACACUGGGACUGAGACACGGCCCAGACUCC